ACGGGAGGCAGCAGUUUGGACUAUUGCACAAUGGGGGAAACCCUGAUGCAGCGACGCCGCGUGAGUGAUGAAGUAUUUCGGUAUGUAAAGCUCUAUCAGCAGGGAAGAUAAUGACGGUACCUGACUAAGAAGCCCCGGCUAACUACGUGCCAGCAGCCGCGGUAAUACGUAGGGGGCAAGCGUUAUCCGGAUUUACUGGGUGUAAAGGGAGCGUAGACGGCUUAGCAAGUCUGAAGUGAAAGGCAUGGGCUCAACCUGUGGACUGCUUUGGAAACUGUUGAGCUAGAGUACCGGAGGGGUAAGCGGAAUUCCUAGUGUAGCGGUGAAAUGCGUAGAUAUUAGGAGGAACACCGGUGGCGAAGGCGGCUUACUGGACGGCAACUGACGUUGAGGCUCGAAGGCGUGGGGAGCAAACAGGAUUAGAUACCCUGGUA
rnacentral:rRNA from 1 species